rnacentral:misc_RNA from 1 species
AUAUGCUCGGCCUUACAAGGAAAACUGGUUGAAAUUGAAUCGUCUGUGGAGAAUAGAUUCCUGAAGAAUCGAAUCGCCUUUCUCCAUAGUAACCAUACCUAUGACAACGUGAACUAUUGGAUCGGGGGUACGGAUCUAGAGGCAGAAGGCACUUUUCUCUGGGUUAAGACGAGGGACCCUUUCUCGUUCACCGACUGGCACCCCUCCCAGCCGAACGGGGGUCCAGAGGACUGUGUGGCGUUCAACUGUUUCACUGACUCCAGCAUACAAUGGCACGACUUCUCGUGUAGGCAGUUCAACUACUACAUCUGUGAGAAAGAGUUGAGUGACAACGAAAUUAACAAUAUAAUUGGGUGACAAAAUGUACCUGUUUAUUUAAUUAUUGAAAUGCAAAACUUGAAUAAAGGAUAGAGAUGUGCACUU